AAUAGAUACCCGGGUAGUCCACGCCGUAAACGAUGAGUGCUAAGUGUUAGAGGGUUUCCGCCCUUUAGUGCUGCAGCUAACGCAUUAAGCACUCCGCCUGGGGAGUACGGCCGCAAGGCUGAAACUCAAAGGAAUUGACGGGGGCCCGCACAAGCGGUGGAGCAUGUGGUUUAAUUCGAAGCAACGCGAAGAACCUUACCAGGUCUUGACAUCCUCUGCCAACCCUAGAGAUAGGGCGUUCCCCUUCGGGGGACAGAGUGACAGGUGGUGCAUGGUUGUCGUCAGCUCGUGUCGUGAGAUGUUGGGUUAAGUCCCGCAACGAGCGCAACCCUUGAUCUUAGUUGCCAGCAUUUAGUUGGGCACUCUAAGGUGACUGCCGGUGACAAACCGGAGGAAGGUGGGGAUGACGUCAAAUCAUCAUGCCCCUUAUGACCUGGGCUACACACGUGCUACAAUGGAUGGUACAAAGAGCUGCGAGCCCGCGAGGGUAAGCGAAUCUCAUAAAGCCAUUCUCAGUUCGGA
rnacentral:rRNA from 1 species